AUUUCACAAGAAAACUGUUAAAAAAUAAACAGUUCACUAACGAAUUUUAACCAGAGGAACAUAUCUGCAUAACUUAGGACUUUUAUAGGGACAACUUAUGGAAUUUUCGUUUUGCAAGGAUAUAUCUGCAAUUCACUAUGUUUGCAGGGACGUGUAUGCAAAUAACCCUAUGUAUUAACUAUCCCUCCAUUACUUGAUUGACAACGAAUUAGAGGAGUAGACAAAAAAAGAUCAACUCCAGAGAAAAGGGAUUAGGCUGGCUGGCAUGCGAAAUUGGGCUAGACGGAUCCAAAAAUAUAAAAAAUCUAAAAUAAUAAUGCUAAAGUUUGGAUAUCACAUCCAUAUCCAUUUUUUCGCCUAUCCGAAAAAAUUUAACUCUAUAAAACCAUAUUUGUAUCCGUAUCGGAUGGGAUCCCGAUAUUUUCUAUCCGAAUCCGGAUAUUAUCGAAUACGGAUAUAGAUAUUUUCGGAUAAUAUCCUAUACGUUUUCAUUCCUAGCAUAUAUAAACAUAUCGAUAUUUAAUUACCUCAAAGCUACCACUUAAUACUCUUAUCUUAAAAAUUACCUUGAUAACUUAACACUUUAAAAAAUUUACAAAAAGCUAUUCUUAUUAUCUAUAAAAAAUUGUAAAUAUUCAAACCAACAAA
rnacentral:lncRNA from 1 species